GAUGAAGAACGUAGCGAAAUGCGAUAACUAAUGUGAAUUGCAGAAUUCAGUGAAUCAUCGAGUCUUUGAACGCACAUUGCGCCCCCUGGUAUUCCGGGGGGCAUGCCUGUCCGAGCGUCAUUGCCGCCCUCAAGCACGGCUUGUGUGUUGGGCCCCCGCCCCCCGGCUUCGGGGGGCGGGCCCGAAAGGCAGCGGCGGCACCGCGUCCGGUCCUCGAGCGUAUGGGGCUUCGUCACCCGCUCUGUAGGCCCGGCCGGCGCCCGCCGGCGACCCCAAUCAAUCUUUCCAGGUUGACCUCGGAUCAGGUAGGGAUACCCGCUGAACUUAAGCAUAUCAAUAAGCGGAGGA
rnacentral:misc_RNA from 1 species